rnacentral:rRNA from 1 species
GACGAACGCUGGCGGCGUGCUUAACACAUGCAAGUCGAACGGAAAGGCCCUGCUUUUGUGUGGUUCUCGAGUGGCGAACGGGUGAGUAACACGUGAGUAACCUGCCCUUGACUUUGGGAUAACUUCAGGAAACUGGGGCUAAUACCGGAUAGGAGCUCCUGCUGCAUGGUGGGGGUUGGAAAGUUUCGGCGGUUGGGGAUGGACUCGCGGCUUAUCAGCUUGUUGGUGGGGUAGUGGCUUACCAAGGCUUUGACGGGUAGCCGGCCUGAGAGGGUGACCGGCGACAAGGGGCCUGAGGUACGGACCAGACUCCUACGGGAGGCAGCAGUGGGGAAUAUUGCACAAUGGGCGGAAGCCUGAGGCAGCAACGCCGCGUGCGGGAUGACGGCCUUCGGGUUGUAAACCGCUUUCGCCUGUGACGAAGCGUGAGUGACGGUAAUGGGUAAAGAAGCACCGGCUAACUACGUG